UCGAGGAUAUUUAGCAAUGCCCGAAAGGGUGACUAUGCGACGCCGCGUGUGCGAUGAAGGUCUUCGGAUCGUAAAGCACUGUCAGCUGGGAGGAAUCUCUGGAGGCUUAAUAAGCUUGCAGGGUGACAGUACCAGCAGAGGAAGCCACGGCUAACUCCGUGCCAGCAGCCGCGGUAAUACGGAGGUGGCAGGCGUUACUCGGAUUGAUUGGGUGUAAAGGGUGGGUAGGUGGCGAGUUAAGUCGAAUGUGAAAGCCCAUGGCUCAACCAUGGAAUUGCAUUCGAAACUGGCUUGCUUGAGCGACUGAGAGGUAAAUGGAAUUCCCGGUGUAACAGUGAAAUGUGUAGAUAUCGGGAGGAACACCAGUGGCGAAGGCGAUUUACUGGCAGUCUGCUGACACUGAAACACGAGAGCUAGGGGAGCAAACA
rnacentral:rRNA from 1 species